UACGUAGGCAGCGAGCGUUGUUCGGAAUUACUGGGCGUAAAGAGUGUGUAGGCGGUGCUCUAAGUUCGGUGUGAAAUCUCCUGGCUCAACUGGGAGGGUGCGCCGGAAACUGGAGUGCUUGAGCGUGGGAGAGGAAAGCGGAAUUCCUGGUGUAGCGGUGAAAUGCGUAGAUAUCAGGAGGAACACCGGUGGCGAAGGCGGGACUCUGGGCCGAUACUGACGCUGAGGAGCGAAAGCGUGGGGAGCGAACAGG
rnacentral:rRNA from 1 species